rnacentral:lncRNA from 1 species
AGCAGACCUUUGGAACCUCAGUCAGAAGAUGGUGGGUGGAAGGAAUCCUGCUGAGGCUAAUCAGGAGGGUUCAGGUGGGAGGCAGCAGUCCAGAUAUUCAGUCACCUUGAGGUUGAGUUUGGUUAUGAAGAGUGGUAUUUAUUAUUGUUAUUAUUAUUAUUAUUAAUUACUACUGGCAUCGCUACGUAAAGCCUAGAGCUGCCAGCUGGACUGAAGCCCUGGCCCCUAGAGUGAUCCUUCCUUUUCACCAAAGAUGAAGCAGAGAAUAUCCUGUUUCCUGAUCCAGGACUGAAAAGUGGGCUUGGGGAGUCAGAUGCCAUGUUUUCAGUUUCCUGCACUGACCCUCUUCUCCUUCCUUAAGUAGAUGGAGUAUCCUUCAUACUCCAGGCCCACUUAAGCCUUUUCUACCGCUUUGAAAUAUGGCAGGAUAAGAGGCUGUGGGUAGCAGAUGAGACCCCCUUAGCUUCCCUGCUGUGGGGCCUCGUCCCACAACUACUGCCUACUCCAUCUGUUUUUCUCUGGCAAUGCUGGGGGCAGGAUUUUGAAUUCCAGAACAAUCCAGCAUCUUCGGCUUCUGUCUGUCCUUUCAUGCUGGACUCCAGAAGUUAAAGAUGACUCUUUUUUUUUCCUCAUCUCCCCCUCCAAAUAAGGCGAACUCCAAAUCCUCCACCUUCUCUAAUCUUUACCCAUUACCCAGCUUCCAGAGAUGGGAAAAAUCAGAGCAUCAGACAGAAAGGGACCAUUUAUGUUCUUAAGAAGGUGAGAGAGGUGCAGAAAUUUCCAUCCCAUUAGACAGACAAAAGCUGAGCUUUCUUUGGGUUUGGCAGUUAUCACUAGGUGUUUCAGCACUGCCAGUUCUAGAGUUAGGGUUCACACACCACUGCCCCAAAGCUGUCUCAGCUCAGAGACUGGUUACUGGUUUUCUUUUUCUGGUGGGGCAAGAGCAUUGGAGAAGCAGACAAAAAGGAGAUAACAGGCUUUUGGAGAUUUGCUAAGUACCUAAUGCUCCCCCCCCCCAACCCCUUGAAUCAGUUAAAGAAAAAAAAAUGCCCUAGAAAUUUAAAAAUUACUGCAUUCGCCACCCAGAAAUAUGACCUCUCCAUUCAGCUAUGUUGCAAAUAUGCAGAGAAUUAAGACCAAAAGGUGCCUACCCAUAUGCCGUCCUCCAGUUUCCUGCACUUGCCCAAGAGUACUGAGUAUGUACCGCACAAAGAACUAGGAGAGUUAGCUAGUAGCUUUGAAGUGUUUACAGUCUAGAAGGUUGGCACUUCUGUAGAGCCAGUUAGGCAAAGUACCACGGACAACUUCCAAGAUGGAGGGAGCUGUCUGAGCCCUUUUUUCCUUCUCUAGAAAAGUACCCACGCUGAGAUUUUCCUCUAGGUUUCAAAUGAGCUAGGGGGGUUACUCUAGCUCAUACAAGGAUGGCAUUCUGAGGAGCCCAGCUUUCCUGGGUUUGAAUUGUCACCCCAUCCCUUCCCAGCUGGGUGACCAAGAUGAGUUGCCUAACUUCUCUGCCUCAAUUUCCUCAUCUGUAAAAUGGGGUUGAUAACAAUCAGGAUUGUUGAGAGGAUUCAAAGAUUUCUUAGGUGUGAAGGACUAAGAGUACCCUGACUAUAGCAAGCACCAUGUGUGAACAGCUAUUACCAAUACCUACUGUAAUAGACUCACACCCACUGUGUCAAAUAUCAAUUUCUUGGGUGUCCCCAGAGCUAAUUAAUUCCCAGGGAAGAACUUCUCUGAGCACUCAUUCAACUUUGAGUCUCACCUUUCACCAAAUGUCUCGAGCUUUUUCUCUGUACAAGCCGUGAAGAUUUUAUUUAUCGUAUUAUGGUAGGAAAGGGCGGUGAGCAAGACAAGCAUAGAUCUUUCUAUUGGUUUGGGUUCCUUCGAAAAGGAAGAAUUCCUUGUUGUUCCUUUUGCAAAUGCAGACUGCAGGACAGAGAUAAUAAUCUUGAGGAUGGUCCUCCGCUCCUAGAAGAGAACCCCAGUCCUCAGCAGCACCCUUCCCUAGGAAUGUCCUUCUGGCCGGAGAGAAAUGAAUUAACAAGUGGGGCCAGGAAGGAAAGCAACCUUGAGGACUGGCGUUCGAUAUAAGGGGGGCAAGAACGAAUUAAGUUGACCUGGUCAUCUAAUUACUCUUGUACUUUUUACCUUUCAAUUUGGUAUUGCUCUUUAUACAGGAGACCUAUUCAACAGUAAUCACAUUUUGUUACAGAAUAGAAAAAAAAAAAAAAAAGAUGUGUGAAAAGCUAGGGGACCCGUUAUUGAUAGACCAUUCCAGACUUUCUUCCAACUGAUUUUCUUUCUUUCUGUUUUUUUUUUUGUUGUUGUUGUUUUGUUUUUUUUGUUUUUACAGUAUCUUGUCUUCUAAAGCAAGAUCUAAACCUCAGCAAUAAAAACUAAGAAGCAAAAUGCAAGCAAAGAAUACUGUUCUCUAGAUAAAACGACAGGGAAAGAGGUUUGGUUUUCAGGAAGCAGACAUAAAAGUCUACCUCUCCGUGCAGGGUUCCAGCCAGAUUUGUGCCCAGAGUCUGUUUUUCUCUCUUUUUGACAGUCCUGAUCUUCUCUACGUUUAAUUUACUGAGUGCUGUCAUUUCUCUGCUCUUUACUUUCACAAUCACACAUUCAAACCUGAUAAAGUUCAAGACCCUGAAUAUUUGCAGCCUUCCCAGAUUUACAGUCCUGCUGCCCCCCACCCUGGUCAGGGGUCCCCAGGCUGAUUGAAUCCUCAUGGACAGAAGCCAUGGGGAAUCAGCAGAGAGCCAGCAGGGUCAGGACCGGUGGAUCACUAGGGAAUGUCAGCCCCCAGGUCAGCUCUCUUAGUCAAAGGGAAACUUAGUAGCUUUCUUUCCCUAGAAAAUGAUGUCAAACAUCCCCUGAGCUUAGUUCCAACUUCCAGUUUGUAACCUGCCUGUGGGCAGGGACAGGAAUGGUAACUUGCAAGUGUUACAACUGGCGACAAUUGCAUAAAAAAUCAUGGUCGUCUUCCAUGAAUUUCCUGUCGAUCCAGAGCAAGCCACUUAACCUCUCAGUGCCUCAGUUGCUCCAUCCAUAAAAUGGUAGAAAUAUUACUGCCUGCCAACAUUAAUCACAAACUAAUGGCUCAAGUCCUCCCUCCCUCUGUAGCUCUGUCAGGGCCCCAGAAAGACCAUUAACAUAUGUCUGCUCUGGCUGUUUGGAUUCCAUCAGGUUAAAUACAAACCUAUAUGUUAAUCUAAAUACUAUACCAAUGGGCUAAACAAAAGGAAUGAUUCAUCUCUCAAGACUGAGCUGUUAAAUUAGGCUCAAGUUUUAAAACCACUGAAAUUUCUGAAGGAAGAUACUAUCUAAAUAAUCUAUUCUUUGCCUAUAAAUAUGUCAUAAGUCAACUAAAAGACGGAACAGUGACGAAAAGCAACCACUGAACAUGAAUGCCCUUAUUUCCAAUAUUGUGAUGACACAAGAACUUCAUAUUUAAUGCAUGUAACUCAAUUACACAAGUAAUUGUUCUUACAUGAAUUGAUGUUUUCAUUUGUCUUGAACUAUCAGAAUUUUCUAAGGUAAGCAGCACUUAAAGUAAGUCUUUUUUGGCGGGAGGUGGGGGGGCAGUGCAGUGGCAAGCCAAGGCAUGUGGAGGUUCCCAGGCCAGGAAUCAAACUCACACCACAGCAGUGACCCAGCUGCUGCAGUGACAAGACCAAAUCCUUAACCUGCUACACCACCAAGGAACUCCAAGUGGGUCAUAUAUAUAUGUAUAUAUAUCACUAUUCCAAUUUUAUGAACUAAAAAAGGUUUUUACAAUUUUUUCCCCUUUUGGAGUUCCCUGGUGGCUCAGUAGGUUAAGGAU